rnacentral:rRNA from 1 species
UUAAGCGACUAAGCGUACACGGUGGAUGCCCUGGCAGUCAGAGGCGAUGAAGGACGUGCUAAUCUGCGAUAAGCGUCGGUAAGGUGAUAUGAACCGUUAUAACCGGCGAUUUCCGAAUGGGGAAACCCAGUGUGAUUCGUCACACUAUCAUUAACUGAAUCCAUAGGUUAAUGAGGCGAACCGGGGGAACUGAAACAUCUAAGUACCCCGAGGAAAAGAAAUCAACCGAGAUUCCCCCAGUAGCGGCGAGCGAACGGGGAGGAGCCCAGAGCCUGAAUCAGUGUGUGUGUUAGUGGAAGCGUCUGGAAAGGCGCGCGAUACAGGGUGACAGCCCCGUACACAAAAAUGCACAUGCUGUGAGCUCGAUGAGUAGGGCGGGACACGUGGUAUCCUGUCUGAAUAUGGGGGGACCAUCCUCCAAGGCUAAAUACUCCUGACUGACCGAUAGUGAACCAGUACCGUGAGGGAAAGGCGAAAAGAACCCCGGCGAGGGGAGUGAAAAAGAACCUGAAACCGUGUACGUACAAGCAGUGGGAGCCUCUUUAUGGGGUGACUGCGUACCUUUUGUAUAAUGGGUCAGCGACUUAUAUUCUGUAGCAAGGUUAACCGAAUAGGGGAGCCGAAGGGAAACCGAGUCUUAACUGGGCGUUAAGUUGCAGGGUAUAGACCCGAAACCCGGUGAUCUAGCCAUGGGCAGGUUGAAGGUUGGGUAACACUAACUGGAGGACCGAACCGACUAAUGUUGAAAAAUUAGCGGAUGACUUGUGGCUGGGGGUGAAAGGCCAAUCAAACCGGGAGAUAGCUGGUUCUCCCCGAAAGCUAUUUAGGUAGCGCCUCGUGAACUCAUCUCCGGGGGUAGAGCACUGUUUCGGCAAGGGGGUCAUCCCGACUUACCAACCCGAUGCAAACUGCGAAUACCGGAGAAUGUUAUCACGGGAGACACACGGCGGGUGCUAACGUCCGUCGUGAAGAGGGAAACAACCCAGACCGCCAGCUAAGGUCCCAAAGUCAUGGUUAAGUGGGAAACGAUGUGGGAAGGCCCAGACAGCCAGGAUGUUGGCUUAGAAGCAGCCAUCAUUUAAAGAAAGCGUAAUAGCUCACUGGUCGAGUCGGCCUGCGCGGAAGAUGUAACGGGGCUAAACCAUGCACCGAAGCUGCGGCAGCGACGCUUAUGCGUUGUUGGGUAGGGGAGCGUUCUGUAAGCCUGCGAAGGUGUACUGUGAGGUAUGCUGGAGGUAUCAGAAGUGCGAAUGCUGACAUAAGUAACGAUAAAGCGGGUGAAAAGCCCGCUCGCCGGAAGACCAAGGGUUCCUGUCCAACGUUAAUCGGGGCAGGGUGAGUCGACCCCUAAGGCGAGGCCGAAAGGCGUAGUCGAUGGGAAACAGGUUAAUAUUCCUGUACUUGGUGUUACUGCGAAGGGGGGACGGAGAAGGCUAUGUUGGCCGGGCGACGGUUGUCCCGGUUUAAGCGUGUAGGCUGGUUUUCCAGGCAAAUCCGGAAAAUCAAGGCUGAGGCGUGAUGACGAGGCACUACGGUGCUGAAGCAACAAAUGCCCUGCUUCCAGGAAAAGCCUCUAAGCAUCAGGUAACAUCAAAUCGUACCCCAAACCGACACAGGUGGUCAGGUAGAGAAUACCAAGGCGCUUGAGAGAACUCGGGUGAAGGAACUAGGCAAAAUGGUGCCGUAACUUCGGGAGAAGGCACGCUGAUACGUAGGUGAAGUCCCUUGCGGAUGGAGCUGAAAUCAGUCGAAGAUACCAGCUGGCUGCAACUGUUUAUUAAAAACACAGCACUGUGCAAACACGAAAGUGGACGUAUACGGUGUGACGCCUGCCCGGUGCCGGAAGGUUAAUUGAUGGGGUUAGCGGUAACGCGAAGCUCUUGAUCGAAGCCCCGGUAAACGGCGGCCGUAACUAUAACGGUCCUAAGGUAGCGAAAUUCCUUGUCGGGUAAGUUCCGACCUGCACGAAUGGCGUAAUGAUGGCCAGGCUGUCUCCACCCGAGACUCAGUGAAAUUGAACUCGCUGUGAAGAUGCAGUGUACCCGCGGCAAGACGGAAAGACCCCGUGAACCUUUACUAUAGCUUGACACUGAACAUUGAGCCUUGAUGUGUAGGAUAGGUGGGAGGCUUUGAAGUGUGGACGCCAGUCUGCAUGGAGCCGACCUUGAAAUACCACCCUUUAAUGUUUGAUGUUCUAACGUUGGCCCCUAAUCGGGGUUGCGGACAGUGUCUGGUGGGUAGUUUGACUGGGGCGGUCUCCUCCUAAAGAGUAACGGAGGAGCACGAAGGUUGGCUAAUCCUGGUCGGACAUCAGGAGGUUAGUGCAAUGGCAUAAGCCAGCUUGACUGCGAGCGUGACGGCGCGAGCAGGUGCGAAAGCAGGUCAUAGUGAUCCGGUGGUUCUGAAUGGAAGGGCCAUCGCUCAACGGAUAAAAGGUACUCCGGGGAUAACAGGCUGAUACCGCCCAAGAGUUCAUAUCGACGGCGGUGUUUGGCACCUCGAUGUCGGCUCAUCACAUCCUGGGGCUGAAGUAGGUCCCAAGGGUAUGGCUGUUCGCCAUUUAAAGUGGUACGCGAGCUGGGUUUAGAACGUCGUGAGACAGUUCGGUCCCUAUCUGCCGUGGGCGCUGGAGAACUGAGGGGGGCUGCUCCUAGUACGAGAGGACCGGAGUGGACGCAUCACUGGUGUUCGGGUUGUCAUGCCAAUGGCACUGCCCGGUAGCUAAAUGCGGAAGAGAUAAGUGCUGAAAGCAUCUAAGCACGAAACUUGCCCCGAGAUGAGUUCUCCCUGACUCCUUGAGAGUCCUGAAGGAACGUUGAAGACGACGACGUUGAUAGGCCGGGUGUGUAAGCGCAGCGAUGCGUUGAGCUAACCGGUACUAAUGAACCGUGAGGCUUAACCU